GGGGCGAUGGCGUAGUUGGUUAUCGCAUCUGUCUUACAAUCGUAAGGUUCACAGAAGGUCCUCAGUUCGAGCCUGGGUCGUCUCA